AUUGCUUCUCGGCCUUUUGGCUAAGAUCAAGUGUAGAAUAAUAUGUGCUCUUUGGGUAUUAUUAAAUAAUACUUUAUGUAAGAUGCACCUUUC
rnacentral:snRNA from 1 species